CCCUUAGAUGUUCUGGGCCGCACGCGCGCUACACUGACGAAUGCAACGAGCUUAUAACCUUGGCCGAAAGGUCUGGGUAAUCUCCAAAUUUCGUCGUGAUGGGGAUAGAUUAUUGCAAUUAUUAAUCUUCAACGAGGAAUGCCUAGUAAGCGCAAGUCAUCAGCUUGCGUUGAUUACGUCCCUGCCCUUUGUACACACCGCCCGUCGCGCCUACCGAUUGAAUGGUCCGGUGAAGCGCUCGGACCGCGGCCUCUUGACGGUUUUCCGUCGAUUGGCUGUGGGAAGUUCGUUAAACCUUAUCAUUUAGAGGAAGGAGAAGUCGUAACA
rnacentral:rRNA from 1 species